rnacentral:rRNA from 1 species
AACGAACGCUGGCGGCAUGCCUAACACAUGCAAGUCGAACGAGACCUUCGGGUCUAGUGGCGCACGGGUGCGUAACGCGUGGGAACCUGCCCUUAGGUUCGGAAUAACUCCCCGAAAGGGGUGCUAAUACCGGAUAAUGUCUUCGGACCAAAGAUUUAUCGCCUUUGGAUGGGCCCGCGUUGGAUUAGCUAGUUGGUAGGGUAAAAGCCUACCAAGGCGACGAUCCAUAGCUGGUCUGAGAGGAUGAUCAGCCACACUGGGACUGGGACACGGCCCAAAUCUCGGAGGAGGGGCGAAGGGGGGAUAAAGGAAAGCGGGGGGAAAGCAGAAGCCCUUAGGGCCGUGGAGGAGUUUAAGGCCUGAGGGUGGAAAGUCUGUUUACCCCGGGAUGUUAAGAAGUUACCCGGAGAAAAAACCCCGGGUAACCUCGUU